rnacentral:rRNA from 1 species
GACGAACGCUGGCGGCGUGCUUAACACAUGCAAGUCGAACGGAAAGGCCCUGCUUUUGUGGGGUGCUCGAGUGGCGAACGGGUGAGUAACACGUGAGUAACCUGCCCUUGACUUUGGGAUAACUUCAGGAAACUGGGGCUAAUACCGGAUAGGAGCUCCUGCUGAAUGGUGGGGGUUGGAAGGUUUCGGCGGUUGGGGAUGGACUCCCGGCUUAUCAGCUUGUUGGUGGGGUAGUGGCUUACCAAGGCUUUGACGGGUAGCCGGCCUGAGAGGGUGACCGGCCACAUUGGGACUGAGAUACGGCCCAGACUCCUACGGGAGGCAGCAGUGGGGAAUAUUGCACAAUGGGCGGAAGCCUGAUGCAGCAACGCCGCGUGCGGGAUGACGGCCUUCGGGUUGUAAACCGCUUUCGCCUGUGACGAAGCGUGAGUGACGGUAAUGGGUAAAGAAGCACCGGCUAACUACGUG